GACAGAGGGUGCAAACGUUGCUCGGAAUCACUGGGCGUAAAGGGCGUGUAGGCGGGAAGGAAAGUCAGAUGUGAAAGCCCUGGGCUCAACCCAGGAACUGCAUUUGAAACUCCCUUUCUUGAGUGUCGGAGAGGAAAGCGGAAUUCCUGGUGUAGAGGUGAAAUUCGUAGAUAUCAGGAGGAACACCGGUGGCGAAGGCGGCUUUCUGGACGACAACUGACGCUGAGACGCGAAAGCGUGGGGAGCAAACAGGAUUAGAUACCCUGGUAGUCCACGCUGUAAACGAUGAACACUAGGUGUCGUGGGUAUUGACCCCCGCGGUGCCGCAGCUAACGCAUUAAGUGUUCCGCCUGGGAAGUACGGUCGCAAGACUAAA
rnacentral:rRNA from 1 species